rnacentral:rRNA from 1 species
GUGAGGAAUUUUCCGCAAUGGGCGAAAGCCUGACGGAGCAAUGCCGCGUGAAGGAUGAAGGCCUAUGGGUUGUAAACUUCUUUUCUCAGAAAAGAAUUAUGACGGUAUCUGAGGAAUAAGCAUCGGCUAACUCUGUGCCAGCAGCCGCGGUAAGACAGAGGAUGCAAGCGUUAUCCUGAAUGAUUGGGCGUAAAGCGUCUGUAGGUUGUUUAAAAAGUAUUCUGUCAAAGAUUAGGGCUUAACCCUAGAUAGGCAGAAUAAACUUUUAAGCUAGAGUUUGGUAGAGGCAGAGGGAAUUCCCGGUGGAGCGGUGAAAUGCGUAGAUAUCGGGAGGAACACCAAAGGCGAAGGCACUCUGCUGGGCCAAUACUAACACUGAGAGACGAAAGCGAGGGGAGCAAAUGGGAUUAGAAACCCCUGUAGUCC